CCUACGGGUGGCAGCAGUGGGGAAUAUUGCACAAUGGGGGAAACCCUGAUGCAGCGACGCCGCGUGAGUGAAGAAGUAUUUCGGUAUGUAAAGCUCUAUCAGUAGGGAAGCAAAUGCCGGUACCUGAUUAAGAAGCCCCGGCUAACUACGUGCCAGCAGCCGCGGUAAUACGUAGGGGGCAAGCGUUAUCCGGAUUUACUGGGUGUAAAGGGAGCGUAGAGGGCAGCACAAGUCUGGAGGGAAAUGCUGGGGCUUAACCCCGGAACUGCUGUGGAAACUGGGCAGCUAGAGUGCAGGAGAGGUAAGUGGAAUUCCUGGUGUAGCGGUGAAAUGCGUAGAUAUUAGGAGGAACACCAAUGGCGAAGGCAGCUUACUGGACUGUAACUGACGUUGAGGCUCGAAAGCGUGGGGAGCGAACAGGAUUAGAUACCCGAGUAGUC
rnacentral:rRNA from 1 species